UUUGUUUCAAAAUAUUAAGCUCAUUCUAGAUAUAGGCAAAGUGCAUGCAUAGUCUGUAUGUUCUCCAUAUCAAGGAUGUAAGUAUGAAGCUUUAUAUUUAAAAUUAUCAUUGGAUAGAUUGUGUAUAAGAAAAACUAGUAUGUAGGUUUACAAUAAAUAUUGAUAGCAUAACAAUCACUUUCUUUUAUUAUCCACAGUUCAAGAAAAUGCACUUCAUUUUGAAUGAUCUACACAAUUUUAAUUUUUAGACCAUAAUUAUUGUUGUUAAUGAUAUCAGUAUAUUCAUAUAUGGUGUUGAGAACUUCAAUAAUAAUAAAUGUGUCAUCCACAUACUCUUGUGCAAUAUAAUGUUCUUGAUAGUUUAUAGUCAUUUAUCUUCUAUACCUGCAAUUCCACUAACAAACUCCAGGGAUGGGAGAGUCCAUAGGGUACUCCAUGUGAUUGUAAAUAAAAAAAACUGUUAUAUUUAUAGUAUGAAUUCUUGUGUACUUGAUGGGCUAUAUCUGAUAAGAUUUUCUAAGUAUGUCUAUUGUUUUUGUGAUGAUUUAAAUCAAACAGUAGUAAUCAGAGCUCUAGAAUAGCAGAAUCUUUUAAUCUAAUGCAUUCUUGAAUUUAAUCAAAAUCAUUAACAGUGUAUUGAUAAUCAUUUAUAACUUCCUUACAAAAUUCAAAAAUGUC
rnacentral:lncRNA from 1 species